UACAGAGGGUGCGAGCGUUAAUCGGAAUUAUUGGGCGUAAAGCGCGCGCAGGUGGUUUCUUAAGUCUGAUGUGAAAGCCCACGGCUCAACCGUGGAGGGUCAUUGGAAACUGGGGAACUUGAGUGCAGAAGAGGAAAGUGGAAUUCCAAGUGUAGCGGUGAAAUGCGUAGAGAUUUGGAGGAACACCAGUGGCGAAGGCGACUUUCUGGUCUGUAACUGACACUGAGGCGCGAAAGCGUGGGGAGCGAACAGG
rnacentral:rRNA from 1 species